GGGUUGUGAGGUUAAGCGACUAAGCGUACACGGUGGAUGCCCUGGCAGUCAGAGGCGAUGAAGGACGUGCUAAUCUGCGAUAAGCGUCGGUAAGGUGAUAUGAACCGUUAUAACCGGCGAUUUCCGAAUGGGGAAACCCAGUGUGUUUCGACACACUAUCAUUAACUGAAUCCAUAGGUUAAUGAGGCGAACCGGGGGAACUGAAACAUCUAAGUACCCCGAGGAAAAGAAAUCAACCGAGAUUCCCCCAGUAGCGGCGAGCGAACGGGGAGCAGCCCAGAGCCUGAAUCAGUGUGUGUGUUAGUGGAAGCGUCUGGAAAGGCGCGCGAUACAGGGUGACAGCCCCGUACACAAAAAUGCACAUGCUGUGAGCUCGAUGAGUAGGGCGGGACACGUGGUAUCCUGUCUGAAUAUGGGGGGACCAUCCUCCAAGGCUAAAUACUCCUGACUGACCGAUAGUGAACCAGUACCGUGAGGGAAAGGCGAAAAGAACCCCGGCGAGGGGAGUGAAAAAGAACCUGAAACCGUGUACGUACAAGCAGUGGGAGCACGCUUAGGCGUGUGACUGCGUACCUUUUGUAUAAUGGGUCAGCGACUUAUAUUCUGUAGCAAGGUUAACCGAAUAGGGGAGCCGAAGGGAAACCGAGUCUUAACUGGGCGUUAAGUUGCAGGGUAUAGACCCGAAACCCGGUGAUCUAGCCAUGGGCAGGUUGAAGGUUGGGUAACACUAACUGGAGGACCGAACCGACUAAUGUUGAAAAAUUAGCGGAUGACUUGUGGCUGGGGGUGAAAGGCCAAUCAAACCGGGAGAUAGCUGGUUCUCCCCGAAAGCUAUUUAGGUAGCGCCUCGUGAAUUCAUCUCCGGGGGUAGAGCACUGUUUCGGCAAGGGGGUCAUCCCGACUUACCAACCCGAUGCAAACUGCGAAUACCGGAGAAUGUUAUCACGGGAGACACACGGCGGGUGCUAACGUCCGUCGUGAAGAGGGAAACAACCCAGACCGCCAGCUAAGGUCCCAAAGUCAUGGUUAAGUGGGAAACGAUGUGGGAAGGCCCAGACAGCCAGGAUGUUGGCUUAGAAGCAGCCAUCAUUUAAAGAAAGCGUAAUAGCUCACUGGUCGAGUCGGCCUGCGCGGAAGAUGUAACGGGGCUAAACCAUGCACCGAAGCUGCGGCAGCGACGCUUAUGCGUUGUUGGGUAGGGGAGCGUUCUGUAAGCCUGUGAAGGUGUGCUGUGAGGCAUGCUGGAGGUAUCAGAAGUGCGAAUGCUGACAUAAGUAACGAUAAAGCGGGUGAAAAGCCCGCUCGCCGGAAGACCAAGGGUUCCUGUCCAACGUUAAUCGGGGCAGGGUGAGUCGACCCCUAAGGCGAGGCCGAAAGGCGUAGUCGAUGGGAAACAGGUUAAUAUUCCUGUACUUGGUGUUACUGCGAAGGGGGGACGGAGAAGGCUAUGUUGGCCGGGCGACGGUUGUCCCGGUUUAAGCGUGUAGGCUGGUUUUCCAGGCAAAUCCGGAAAA
rnacentral:rRNA from 1 species